rnacentral:rRNA from 1 species
AGUGAACGCUGGCGGUAGGCCUAACACAUGCAAGUCGAACGGCAGCACAGUAAGAGCUUGCUCUUACGGGUGGCGAGUGGCGGACGGGUGAGGAAUACAUCGGAAUCUACUUUUUCGUGGGGGAUAACGUAGGGAAACUUACGCUAAUACCGCAUACGACCUACGGGUGAAAGCAGGGGAUCUUCGGACCUUGCGCGAUUGAAUGAGCCGAUGUCGGAUUAGCUAGUUGGCGGGGUAAAGGCCCACCAAGGCGACGAUCCGUAGCUGGUCUGAGAGGAUGAUCCGCCACACUGGAACUGAGACACGGUCCAGGCUCCUACGGGAGGCAGCAGUGGGGAAUAUUGGACAAUGGGCGCAAGCCUGAUCCAGCCAUACAGCGUGGGUGAAGAAGGCCUUCGGGUUGUAAAGCCCUUUUGUUGGGAAAGAAAAGCAGCAGGUUAAAACCCCGCUGUUCUGACGGUACCCAAAGAAUAAGCACCGGCUAACUUCGUG